rnacentral:lncRNA from 1 species
CGAAGAGAAAGGAAAGCUGAUUGCAUCAAAAGCAAAUAAAGGAAGAAGACGCGUUACAUUUGAGCCUGGAGAUUGGGUCUGGGUGCAUUUCAGAAAAGAGUAUUUUCCAGAACAUAGGAAGUCAAAAUUGCAACCACGAGGCGAUGGAUCAUUUCAAAUCAUCGAGAGGAUCAAUAACAAUGCUUACAAAGUGGGUUUACCAGGUGAGUAUAAUGUUUCAGCUACUUUUAAUGUAUCUGAUCUCUCUCUAUUUGAUGCAGGUUCAGAUUCGAGGACGAAUCCUUUUGAAGAGGGAGGGGAUGAUAUGAUCCAGAGUCAAGCCCGACGAAGGCAAGUGCGAGACGAGACCCGUUGAUAGUCGAUGGCAGACCAAUAACGCGAUCAAGGGCAAAGCAAGUGAAACAAGCGAUGGAAUUGUUCGUUCAAGAAACCAUUGAUGAAACCAUGUUCGGGACUCAAAAUGGAGCAACCUUCAUGUUCGGGUCGAAGGCCGAAUCAACUUGGAUCAAUUUGUUAUCAAGCGACGAAAGCGGAGACUGAAAACAACACCAUACGGCCGCACAGGCAAAACCACAUGCGGCCGCACACAUGCAUACCGAAAACCAAAAGACUAAUUCCUGUUGAACCAUGCGGCCGCACAAGCCAAAAAAAUUGGCGAAUUUUCUAAUUUUGGCCGAAUUUCCUAGUUUCGAUAGAAUUCUUAUGAAAUCAAAUUAUUACCAUAAUUUGAUGGAUUUUGGACGUUUUUACUCCUUAGUAUAAAUAGGAGAAUACUUUUCAUUGUAACAACUUUUAAACUUUUGACUUUUGCUUAAUAUUAUAAAGAGAG